GCGGAUGUGGUGGAAUGGUAGACACGCUGGUCUUAGAAACCAGUGCCCACAGGCGUGAGAGUUCGAGUCUCUCCGUCCGCACCA
rnacentral:tRNA from 1 species